UACGUAGGGUGCAAGCGUUGUCCGGAAUUAUUGGGCGUAAAGAGCUCGUAGGCGGUCUGUCACGUCGGCUGUGAAAACUCGGGGCUCAACCCCGAGCCUGCAGUCGAUACGGGCAGACUAGAGUGCGGUAGGGGAGACUGGAAUUCCUGGUGUAGCGGUGAAAUGCGCAGAUAUCAGGAGGAACACCGGUGGCGAAGGCGGGUCUCUGGGCCGCAACUGACACUGAGGGACGAAAGCUAGGGGAGCGAAUGGG
rnacentral:rRNA from 1 species